rnacentral:rRNA from 1 species
UACGUAGGUGGCAAGCGUUGUUCGGAAUUAUUGGGCGUAAAGCGCACGUAGGCGGUUUGUUAAGUCGGAUGUGAAAUCCCUCGGCUCAACUGAGGAAGUGCAUCCGAAACUGCAGAGCUUGAGUACCAAAGAGGAUCGCGGAAUUCCCGGUGUAGAGGUGAAAUUCGUAGAUAUCGGGAGGAACACCAGUGGCGAAGGCGGCGAUCUGGGUGGAUACUGACGCUGAGGUGCGAAAGCGUGGGGAGCAAACAGG